rnacentral:lncRNA from 1 species
CCCGAGGGCCCUUCCCUCCUGGGCCUCCUGCAGUCCUCGCCGCAGCCCGGCGCCCGGGGCGGGGGUGGCCACGGAGGGUGGGGGGGGCAGCCGAGGCCCAGAGCGGCCACCUGGCUUCCCCGAGGUCACGCGGCCGGUCACCGCAGAGCCGGAGCCCAGCCCGGCCGAGCGCCCCCCUGGCUUCCCUCCUGCUGCCCUGGCCCAGGGCCCUGCGGACACCCCGACCCCAGCCUGUGCUCUGGGGCCAGCGGCUCCCCCCACCUCACUGCCUACCCACCCCGCCCCCAGGGCUUAGCUCGGAGACGCCGCUGACCCUAAGCCCCCUGCCCAGCCUCACCCCUGAGCCCAGACCCUUUGCUCCCGCUGCCCCCGCCGUGGGGUCAGGGACACACAGAAUGUCGGGGCUGGCAGGGGCCCCAGGAAGUCUGGCCCGUCCCCCUGGGGGUGCAGGUGGGGGCAGUGGUCCCUCCCUGGCCGUGCUGUGCGCCUCCCCUCCAUCCCAGAAGCCCCCAGGGCCUGACCGGGGCUCUGCCCUUCUCCCUGCAUCUCUCCUCUGCUUCCUGCCUCACUUCCCAGAGCAGAUGCUGCAAAAUCCAGCAGUGGCCACCUGAGCUCCGCCUGAAUGACCAGACAGCUACAGGUUCCAGGGCCAAUCCUGUCCCAGCUGAGAGGGUUUAAGGAGUUUCGAGCAUUUUUCCAAAAGGACACCAAAAAUGGUCAAUAGGUGAUGCUCAACAGAAGAUGCUCAACAUCAGUUACCAUUGGUGAAGGAAAAGAAAAUUGAAACCAUGUGAGAUAGCACCUCACACUUGUCAGAAUGGUUAGUAGCAAAAAGAUAAGAAAUAACAAAUGUGUUGGGGAGGACGUGGAGGAAAGGGAGCCCUCGACACUGUUGGUGGGAAUGCAAAUGAGCCCAACCACUAUGGAAAACAAUAUGGAGUUUUCUCAAAAAAAAAAAAAAAAAAAAGUAAAAAUAGAUCUACAAUACAUAUGAUCCAGUAAUUCCACUUCUGGGAAUGUACCCAAAGGGAAAGAAAACAGGAAUUCGACGAGAUAUAUGCGCCCCAUGCUUAUUGCAGCAUUAUUCACAAUAGCCGAGAUAUGGAAGCUGCCCAAAUGCCCAUCGGUGGAUGAAUGGCUAAAAAAGAUGUGGUACAUAAGCACAAUGGAAUAUUAAUCAACCAUGAGAAAGGAGACCGUUCGGCCACUUGCGACCAAAUGGAUGGACCUUGCACACAUUAUGCCAAGUGAGAUAAGCCAGACAGGGAAAGACAAGUUGUGAAUGAUAUCACUUAUAUUUGAAACCAAAAAAAAAAAAAAAAAAAAAAAAGAAAGAAAAAAAUCAAACAUAUGAAAACAAGAACAAGAACAGCGAGUGAAAUGGUGGUUCCUCAGGGUUGGGGGUGGGGGUGCAGUGUUGAUGGUGUUUACGGUUACAAAAUUGUAAUGAGUUACUGAAAUACGUAGGUGUUUGAGCACAGCAAUACUGUACUGUAAGUAUGACAUGUGAUAAAAUAUCAUUACGAUGGCAACCAUAUUAUAAUGUAUAAAUGUAUCAAAGUAACAAGAAGUACACCUUAAAUUUAUGUAAUAUCACAUGUCAAAUUUAUCCAAUUAAAAAAAUGCAAACUAAAAAAACCCCCACCUUAUUCAUGUAGAGUCUUUCCUGUCACCUGGAGUAUGAUAUGAGAGUUCUAUAUGUAUUAGCUGACCAAAUGAAGGAGUGAAUUAAUGGAUAACAAAUGAAUAAAACCCAAUUAUU